CUAGUCUUUGGUGGUCGCUGCCAAUUCAGCGACCGGGCGUCGCGGCCCGGCUC
rnacentral:ncRNA from 1 species